rnacentral:rRNA from 1 species
UACGAAGGGGACUAGCGUUGUUCGGAAUUACUGGGCGUAAAGCGCACGUAGGCGGAUUUGUUAGUCAGGGGUGAAAUCCCGGGGCUCAACCUCGGAACUGCCUUUGAUACUGCGGGUCUUGAGUCCGAUAGAGGUGGGUGGAAUUCCUAGUGUAGAGGUGAAAUUCGUAGAUAUUCGCAAGAACACCAGUGGCGAAGGCGGCUCACUGGCCCGGUACUGACGCUGAGGUGCGAAAGCGUGGGGAGCAAACAGG